GCAGCACAAAGUUGUAGAUAUUGUAAUUUCAGAAUUCCAAGUUGCAUUUUAAUUUGUGUUGGUGUGCAGUUUUAGCUUCCCUUUUCAAAUUCCAAUCCAUUAUUUUGCACCUUUCCCCGCCAUCCAUUUGAUUUCGUCGGAGAGCUUGCGAUGGAACCUUCCACUUCUUCCUACAAGGGACCAUAAUGGUGGUUUACUCAAAAUAAUGGAUUCCGAACAUGUACUAAUUCUGCUAGAGAGUAGAGAAACCUUAGAAAGGCCAAUGCCAUUAUAUCCAAACUUCAAACUACCACUAAUCAACAGAGGGGUGAUGAACCAACUGUUUUAAUUGCAGCUGACACAGUAUGUUGCGUUUCCCCAAGUUAAGUUUUGGUGGUGGUUAGGUUCUUUGUCACCUGGGCCAUUUAUUAAUUGAGGAUAUAGUGUGUACUCCAGUCUGUAAUUUACAGAUCCAGCUUCUUUGGCCAUUCUUAGGAAGAAAUUACGAAAUAUUAACCUUUCCGUAAGUACAGACCAAAUGCUGUCAUGGUGAGAUUACCAUAAACACUUCAGUUUUCAUCCGUAUUUCUGAUGGAACUAUCAAAAUUUAUGAUAGUAUCCUUAAGCUAUGAUAUGUUCUGUAUCUAUGGUACUUGCAAAUCACAAGAAGAGGAGAAGACAGCAAGAUAGGGAAGCGAUAUUAGCCAAGAGCCAAGGCUCUCCAAGCAAGAGAGAGGGUCUCUCUGCUCCCCAAAUUCCACUAAGGAUCCCAAAAUCGAUGAUCCUGAAUCAUAUCAUUACAGAAUCAUAUAUGACAGAAUGUCAGAAUGUGCGCACACACAUACUCCACUAACUAACUGAAUGAGAAGCCAUUUUACAAAGACUCCUUGUUGAUGACUACCUAAAGGAUGCUGUGCCCAUGUUAUUAAUUACCUCUGACCAAAGUCAAAGUUUGCUUAUGGCUUACAUUCAUUGUCAAAUGUGAUUUGGAGGUGGCGGUGUAUGAAGGUGUGAUUAGGGAAAAGCCAACUAGCAAAGAAGAAGCUCGACAAUUCUUGAAAGAUUAUUCUGGAAAGCUUGCUGCAACUGUGGGAUCUGUACUAGUUACUAACCUCAAAACAGGACUGAGAAAAGGAGAUUUGGAUCGUGUAGACUUGGACUUGUGUUUAGGUUGAUGAGGGAAUUACUCUCAAUGUUGCUGGAGGGCUGAUAAUAGAGCAUCCUUUAAUAUUUCCAUAUGUCAAAGAAGUGGUUGGGACAACCGACAGUAUGAUGGGACUCCCCAAAGCUCUGACUGAAAAACUGUUGAAGGAGGCCCUGUAGGACUCCUAAGUGUUAAGUAAUGCUUAAUCUGUGAAUCAGAAUCUUAACCUUUUCUCUCAACAAUUUUCUAAACACAGUGCUGUCUUUUUGUCAUAGUUAUUGGGUAUUCUGAUUCAAGUUAAUCAAUUGGGCCAUAUUUUAUUAGUAACAUAAGACUGUAUUGCGACUAUUUAUCGGUCUAUUAGAAUAAGAAUUGCAUGUUGACAUCUCCAGUCAUGGGAAAUGAAUUUAAUCAGAUUCAGAUACAUAGAGAAAACAUGAAGGAGUUUGGGUGGUUUUAAAUACUUCCAUACUGAAAUUAAGGAUGUCAUUGUUCUAAAUUUUUCUUCUUGGACACUUUUGGCCUCGGAGUUGUUAGUCAGUUAUGUCAUCGACUGUGAAAAGGCACAUUAUGAUUGAAUUAUUUUGAAUAGUUUUUAUGCAUUUAAAUUUAUGAA